AAACUAACAAGGAUUCCCCUAGUAACGGCGAGUGAAGAGGGAAGAGCCCAAGAUUGAAAGCUGGCGUCUUGACGUCCGCAUUGUAAUCUCAAGAAGUGUUUUCCGCUUCGGACCAAGCCUAAGUCCCCUGGAAAGGGGCAUCAUAGAGGGUGAUAAUCCCGUACAUGGCUUGGAGCGCCCGUAGCUUUGUGAUACACUUUCUAAGAGUCGAGUUGUUUGGGAAUGCAGCUCAAAAUGGGUGGUAAAUGCCAUCUAAGGCUAAAUAUUGGGGAGAGACCGAUAGCGAACAAGUACAGUGAUGGAAAGAUGAAAAGAACUUUGAAAAGAGAGUUAAACAGUACGUGAAAUUGCCAAAAGGGAAGGGUAGGAGGUCAGAGAUGCGGCCUGGGAUUCAGCCUUGCUUUUGCUUGGUGUUUUUCCCAGAUUGCAGGCCAACGUCGGUUUUGGGCACUGGAGAAUGGUGGAAGGAACGUGGCACCUCUCGGGGUGUGUUAUAGCCUUCUACUGGAUACAGCGACCGAGACCGAGGACAGCAGCGUACUCGCAAGAGCGGGCCUUCGGGCACCUUUACGG
rnacentral:rRNA from 1 species